CCUACGUGUGGCUGCAGUGGGGAAUAUUGGGCAAUGGAGGCAACUCUGACCCAGCAACGCCGCGUGAAUGAUGAAGGUCUUCGGAUUGUAAAGUUCUUUUCUAAGGGAAGAAGAAAGUGACGGUACCUUCGGAAUAAGCCUCGGCUAACUACGUGCAAGCAGCCGCGGUAAUCCGUAGGAGGCGGGCGUUAUCCGGAAUGACUGGGCGUAAAGGGUGCGUAGGUGGUUUGGCAAGUUAGUGGCGUAACUCCGAGGCUCAACCUUGGAACUACUACUAAAACUGUUGGACGUGAGUGCAGGAGAGGCAACCGGAAUUCCUAGUGUAGCGGUGGAAUGCGUAGAUAUUAGGAGGAACACCAGUGGCGAAGGCGGGUUGCUAGACUGUAACUGACGCUGAGGCACGAAAGCGUGGGGAGCAAACAGGAUUAGAUACCUUAGUAGUC
rnacentral:rRNA from 1 species